CAAACGACUCUCGGCAACGGAUAUCUCGGCUCAUGCAUCGAUGAAGAACGUAGCGAAAUGCGAUACUUGGUGUGAAUUGCAGAAUCCCGUGAACCAUCGAGUCUUUGAACGCAAGUUGCGCCCGAAGCCAUUCGGUCGAGGGCACGUCUGCCUGGGCGUCACGC
rnacentral:rRNA from 2 species